GACGAACGCUGGCGGCGUGCCUAAUACAUGCAAGUCGAACGAGAGCAACCGGUGCUUGCACUGGUCAAUCUAGUGGCGAACGGGUGAGUAACACGUGGGUAACCUGCCCAUCAGAGGGGGAUAACAUCCGGAAACGGAUGCUAAAACCGCAUAGGUCUUCGAACCGCAUGGUUUGAAGAGGAAAAGAGGCGCAAGCUUCUGCUGAUGGAUGGACCCGCGGUGCAUUAGCUAGUUGGUGAGGUAACGGCUCACCAAGGCCGUGAUGCAUAGCCGACCUGAGAGGGUGAUCGGCCACAUUGGGACUGAGACACGGCCCAAACUCCUACGGGAGGCAGCAGUAGGGAAUCUUCCGCAAUGGACGCAAGUCUGACGGAGCAACGCCGCGUGAGUGAAGAAGGUUUUCGGAUCGUAAAACUCUGUUGUUAGAGAAGAACAAGUGCUAGAGUAACUGUUAGCGCCUUGACGGUAUCUAACCAGAAAGCCACGGCUAGCUACGUG
rnacentral:rRNA from 1 species